AGAACAGGUCGAACUUGGUAGAACUGCUAACAUUAGCCGCUAACAGCAAGAUGGCUAACGUUAGCUACACAUGCUAGCCACCAACAUGGCUAUCUCCUACUGAAAAAGAGAAUGCCAGAAACAUUUGGUGAUGUUUGGGCCUGAGUAGCACCCUGCAGUGUCCAUAUGGCUUCACCGUCACACUAUGAAGGCAAAAGGGGUUGGAUAUGUGAAACGUGAACACAGGGGUGUCCAAAGUACGGUCCGGAGGCCAUUUGCAACAUGUGCUUUUUUUUUUGGCCUGAAGCGCCUACUCUACACAGAGAUGUCCAAUGGAGAUUCACACCCAAAUCUUCCAUAUCUCCUGACUGUGGACAACAUGCUAACCACCAGGUCGCCGUGCCAAAAAACUGCAGUAAUUUAAAAAAGA